UACGUAGGGAGCAAGCGUUGUCCGGAAUCAUUGGGCAUAAAGCGCGCGUAGGUGGCUUCGUAAGUCCGUUGUGAAAGUCAAAGGCUCAACCUUUGAAAGCCGAUGGAUACUGUGAAGCUAGAGUACGGAAGAGGCGAGUGGAAUUCCUGGUGUAGCGGUGGAAUGCGCAGAUAUCAGGAGGAACACCAAUAGCGAAGGCAGCUCGCUGGGACGUUACUGACACUGAGGCGCGAAAGCGUGGGGAGCGAACAGG
rnacentral:rRNA from 1 species